UACGUAGGGGGCUAGCGUUGUCCGGAUUUAUUGGGCGUAAAGAGCGUGUAGGCGGCCAGGUAGGUCUGCUGUGAAAACUCGAGGCUCAACCUCGAGACGUCGGCGGAAACCAUCUGGCUAGAGUCCGGAAGAGGAGAGUGGAAUUCCUGGUGUAGCGGUGAAAUGCGCAGAGAUCAGGAAGAACACCGGUGGCGAAGGCGCUCUGCUAGGCCGCAACUGACACUGAGGGACGAAAGCUAGGGGAGCGAAUGGG
rnacentral:rRNA from 1 species